rnacentral:tmRNA from 1 species
GGGGGCGAAACGGCGUUCGACCGGGUUGGACCGGAGCGGAUGGCUGCACGGACGGGACGCCGGCUGCCCCGUGAAAAACGCCGGUGACACAAUAAGCGACAACGCUUAUCGUCUCGCUGCCUAAUGAAGGCAGCCCUCGGCUCGGUUGUUGCCUCCGCGACCGAUGCUGGGGUGCGGUAGGAGGCUGCGCGAACGGUUUGUUCCCGACGACCGUUCGCUAAGAUGCAGUCGGGAUAGCCGUGACGGAAUCCUGUCCGUCGGAGUCCGACACGGCGAAGUUGAAAAGACGGACUAACCGUGUAGACGCCAUCCGAUUCGGAACCCGGGACGGGGGUUCGACUCCCCCCGCCUCCAUUU